UUCAAACGAUACAAAGGUAGUUGUGAAAAAACGUUUUUUUACACUUUUACUUUUUUCAUAGCUUUGUUUAUCUAUAAUAAAGCUUAGUAUACAUGUAUGGAGUAUGGUUGUACAACAUAUAUAAUGUGCAUAUUUCAGCUAUAUGUCUGCAUGGCAAAAAAUG